CUGAAGAAUUUUAUGAUCUGGAUGCUUAUAACCCUACUAAAAGUAAGUUCAUUAUGAAACUUCAAGUUCAUCCAGGACGAAUAAGCCAAGAAGAUAGUCACGAAUUUGAUUUGCUUAUCAGGAACAGACAGAAGACAUACAAAUAUACAUAUUAAUUAGGCGUCAUUUCCAUGAUCACAUUCAUAUUUAUCAGCUUCGUUGACUCCUCAAAGUCAAAGUGAAAUUCUUGAAGAAAGCUUUCAAGGUCAUAAGGAAUGAUUGGCAAAAAUUGCUUACCUGAGCCAGCUUAGAAGAUGAACACAGGAUUCUGGUGUGCGAAUUCAUGCCGAGGGGAAGUUUGGAAAAUCAUCUAUUCAGAAAAGAGUGCUUAUUUCCAACCACUAUCAUAGAAUCUCCGAAUGAAGGUUACUCUCGAGGCAGCUAAAGGACUGACAUAUCUCCACAGCCCAGAAGCUAAAAUUAUAUAUCAGGAUUUCAAAUCAUCUAACAUUUUGCUUGUUGCUAAUUACAAUGCAAAGUUGAGCCAAUCAACAGUAAAAUGGGUACCUUCUGUUGAGUAUAUGACCACUGGUAAUAUACAAUUUCAAUUUACUCCUAAUUGUUCUUGUGAUUUACCUGAGCUGAGCGUCAAUCGGAAGCCAAGUACAAAAGUAGUUAAAAGAUAGAGAUGGUGUCACUAGGAAUAGCUUGACUGGCCCAUCUCCAUCCGUUUCUCUGUUCAAGAAGUAUCAAAAUGCAGCGAUGGUAAUAAAUUGAUCAAUUUUCACUGUACUAUGUCAUAUUUCCAGCAUUAGAUAGUACGUUUAUCAAUAGUUUAGCCAAUUUUUAGAUAUAAGUGUAUCCAAAUUGCUUAAAAGUUGCACAGCUAGACUGUUUUGGCAUGAUAAAUGAUGUUGUUCGAUCUGAAAUUUAAUAUGAAUUUGGUAUAUUACCCGUUGUUAUGCGAGCUUAAUUUUUUGAUUCACAUGUAAAAAUUGACAGUCCAUAGUAGCCUCCUUCUCGAUGUAGUUGUCAGUUAUAACUUUGCUUUCUGUUCUUUGAGCUACUUUACUGCACUUGAAGAGAAAAUUCAGUAAAAAUGUGGCUUAGAUACUUAAAGUCGGGGGAAUUCAAAACUGAAGUAAGAUGAAUUCCUCAUUAAUGUGUUUUGAUGGAUUUUAUGGUCAACUUGGUGGCUAUGUUAUAUGAAUUUUGUUGCACAUCACUGAAAUUAGCUAGUGAUUGUUUUGUGUAUACUUGAUGAAUUGUAUCCACAUUACAUGGACUCUUUUCACUUUCAAUGCAGCAUCAGUGUUGAAUUAAUUUGACAGCGUAUCCAGUCUCCUCAACUUUUGUAAGUGUAACUCUUUAGGACACUCUGAUUAUCGACUUGUGGCUUCUUUGAUUUAUCUGUCUCUUUAUUAGGAAGAUUUUUUGUUUUUGCGUCGAAAAACUACAUGUUGUCCAUUCAUUUAGGUAGCUUAAAUGAUGUUUUAAUAGAAGACUAUUGCAAAAAAUCCCUCCACCUUAAAGCAUAUUCGA